AGUAUAUGAAUAUUUGGUCGCCGAAUUUUCAAUUAUUUUUAAUAUUAAAAUCGAAUACAAAAAUCGAUUUUCACUUUAAAAAAAAUCGAUUAUUUUUCACAUCCCUAUUAAUUUUAUAAACUUAAUCGGCCAUUUUGAAUGUGGUUUAUGCUAGACUAGCGGUAAUUAGUUUUACAGUGCAAAGUUUACUUUAUAAAUCCGUUUCUUUUUUAUUUUCACGUGAAAAUUUAUAGUGAUGGCGUCUACAAGUUUUACUCGUGAAAAUGAUUUUGAGGACGAUGGGUCCGUUGUGAAUCGUGACUUGAAUAGUGAGGAAGUGAUCACAUUUUCCGGAGCAAAACUCACUUGGAGGUGUUCCAAUGAAGGUCCUCCGAGACUCCUAAAUAAUUAGUAUCGUCAAAAAAGUGCGGUGGUAUUUAAAACUGUUACCAAG